CAAACCAAAGCUGGCGACCGGCGCACGGGUGAGUAACACGUAUCCAACCUGCCUCAUACUCGGGGAUAGCCUUUCGAAAGAAAGAUUAAUAUCCGAUAGCAUAUAUUUCCCGCAUGGGUUUUAUAUUAAAGAAGUUCGGUAUGAGAUGGGGAUGCGUUCCAUUAGUUUGUUGGGGGGGUAACGGCCCACCAAGACUACGAUGGAUAGGGGUUCUGAGAGGAAGGUCCCCCACAUUGGAACUGAGACACGGUCCAA
rnacentral:rRNA from 1 species